CCUACGGGGAGCUGCAGUGAGGACUAUUGGUCAAUGGGCGCGAGCCUGAACCAGCCAAGUAGCGUGAAGGAUGACUGCCCUACGGGUUGUAAACUUCUUUUAUAAAGGAAUAAAGUGAGGCACGUGUGCCUUUUUGUAUGUACUUUAUGAAUAAGGAUCGGUUAACUCCGUGCCAGCAGCCGCGGUAAUACGGAGGAUCCGAGCGUUAUCCGGAUUUAUUGGGUUUAAAGGGAGCGUAGAUGGGUUGUUAAGUCAGUUGUGAAAGUUUGCGGCUCAACCGUAAAAUUGCAAUUGAUACUGGCAUCCCUUGAGUGCGCGAGAAGUAUGCGGAAUGCGUGGUGUAGCGGUGAAAUGCAUAGAUAUCACGCAGAACUCCGAUUGCGAAGGCAGCAUACCGGCGCGCAACUGACGCUCAUGCACGAAAGCGUGGGUAUCGAACAGGAUUAGAUACCCCAUUAGUC
rnacentral:rRNA from 1 species